rfam:Triticum aestivum genome assembly, contig: Triticum_aestivum_CS42_TGACv1_scaffold_259427_3DL
AAAGUUCUCCCUCCGUCCCAAAAUUCUUGUCUUAGAUUUGUCUAGAUACGGAUGUAUCAAGUCACAUUUUAGUAUUAGAUACAUCCGUAUCUAGACAAAUCUAAGACAAGAAAUUUGGGACAGAGGGAGUAGUUG